GAACAUUGAGCCUUGAUGUGUAGGAUAGGUGGGAGGCUUUGAAGUGUGGACGCCAGUCUGCAUGGAGCCGACCUUGAAAUACCACCCUUUAAUGUUUGAUGUUCUAACGUUGACCCGUAAUCCGGGUUGCGGACAGUGUCUGGUGGGUAGUUUGACUGGGGCGGUCUCCUCCUAAAGAGUAACGGAGGAGCACGAAGGUUGGCUAAUCCUGGUCGGACAUCAGGAGGUUAGUGCAAUGGCAUAAGCCAGCUUGACUGCGAGCGUGACGGCGCGAGCAGGUGCGAAAGCAGGUCAUAGUGAUCCGGUGGUUCUGAAUGGAAGGGCCAUCGCUCAACGGAUAAAAGGUACUCCGGGGAUAACAGGCUGAUACCGCCCAAGAGUUCAUAUCGACGGCGGUGUUUGGCACCUCGAUGUCGGCUCAUCACAUCCUGGGGCUGAAGUAGGUCCCAAGGGUAUGGCUGUUCGCCAUUUAAAGUGGUACGCGAGCUGGGUUUAGAACGUCGUGAGACAGUUCGGUCCCUAUCUGCCGUGGGCGCUGGAGAACUGAGGGGGGCUGCUCC
rnacentral:rRNA from 1 species